GCCCGUUUCAGAAAGCAGGUUCAACAAACUCUGAGUUAAAACCUUAACUCUAGGUUGACCAACUCUGAGCUGUCAAACUCUUAAGUUUUCGGUUUCAGAACAGGUGAUAACACUUAGUUCAAUCAACUCAGAGUCAAGUUAACCCUGAGUGAAGCUCGUGCAUGAGGAUAUAAAAAGCCCUCAUCAAUGGAGCACAGAUAACAUGAUUCACCAUGGCAAUAAGUGGUAAACAGCCUCGAUCCUCCUACUUCUCCCCAGUGGAGUUGGAAAUAUUAAUGACUGCGUAUGCAGAAAGUGAGCAUAUAUUUUUAAAAAGAAGCAAUACUGUGGCAGCAGCAAAAGAGCGGGAGCUUGCGUGGCAGAAAAUUGCUGACCGAGUCAAUGCGUGCAACCCAACAGGCACCAAACGGACUUGGCAGCAGCUAAAGAUGAAAUAUAAAAAUGUACUUCAAACAGCCAACAGAAAAAAGGCUGAGGCCCGCAAAACAGGUGGCGGUCCACCACCACCACCUCUUACAGAGGCUGAGAAGAUGGCCCUCAGUCAGAACAGUGGGCGACCCAUUGCUGAGGGCAUCUCUGGGGGGAGCUCAUCGGACCCACCCACGCCCCAGGACACAGGGGCCUACAUAAAAGGUGGGGCACUUUUCUGGGUAAUCAUCAACUGUCUAAUCUUCAUCUUCUAUCACUUACUGAUGAUGGUGUAAUCUGUCUCGUGGAGCCUUCUGCCAUAACAGACCUCCAUGCUGUAAGAGGAUGGUGAAGACACCUUAUCAGCUGCCACAGAGGGGGAAGAUGCAGAGGCCUGUUGAAAGCCAUGCUGGAAAUUACAAUGAGGAAGAAGGUCCAUCAACCUCCACAGAACAGCUUACCUCAGUAAGAUGUUGUUCAGCAUUGACCCACAACUUACAAUGACGCUAAGUAGACAUGGCAUUGGGAAAUUUAACGUCAUUUAUGUUUGUAUAGCUCCCUGUGAAACAACUGUAUAAGGUAUAUUUGCAAGCACAAAUCAAAAAUUCUCAUCUGGAAAUGGACCAUAUAAGGCUGCAGAUCACCAAAACAAAAAUGGAAAUACAAAUGCUGGACCAUCAGUUAAAGGUGGGUGACGUGCCCACAGGUGGAUGAUUUUUAAUUGUUUCAACAACAAAGGAUUAACAACUGUACAAAAUUUGUCCUUCUAGGAAAUAAAGAAGACGUCAUAAAAUGA